rnacentral:piRNA from 1 species
GACAGAAAGACUCACAGGGACCCCUUGGA